rnacentral:rRNA from 1 species
AUACGGAGGGUGCAAGCGUUAAUCGGAAUUACUGGGCGUAAAGCGCGCGUAGGCGGAUUAGUAAGUCGGAUGUGAAAGCCCUGGGCUUAACCUGGGAAUUGCAUUCGAAACUGCUUGACUAGAGUAUGGUAGAGGGAAGUGGAAUUUCCGGUGUAGCGGUGAAAUGCGUAGAUAUCGGAAGGAACACCAGUGGCGAAGGCGACUUCCUGGGCCAAUACUGACGCUGAGGUGCGAAAGCGUGGGGAGCAAACAGGAUUAGAUACCCCUGUAGUCC